CCACGGUUUGACAGCCGUUCCUCACGUCCAGUGCUGCCCUCUGCUACAGGACGAUUGUGACAAAACCCGCCAAAAACUGUACAUAGGGAGGAAAAAUAGGGGGUGUCCGGAUCCAAAUUGCGAGCAGACGGCGCGUGACGACAUCACCGUGGUCAGAGUCUCCGGGCUCGCGAGACGGAUGGAGAGACAGAAGGGAGGAUGUCGCGGAUGCCACGCGUUUUUUCUCUUCUGUGCGCGUGCACCUGGUGACAGGCCAGCAGAGCGCGGGGAGAAAAACUUGAAAACAAACGAAAAAAAAAUAUUCGUAGACAAAGGACUUGUAACAUUCAUGUCAUCCUGUGAACAACCGAGUGAGCAGUGAACUGAGUCCCGUCAUGCAGCGCUCGCUGACCCUCUCUCACCUUGUUUUCAUGACGUCAUUCUUGAUUGUUCCACGAACGACAGAGUGCAAACAAUAUUUGGGAUUCAAAGACAACAUAACCCGCUACAGUUUUGACGCUGGCAGAACCGAGGAAAUCAACUUCUUUUUGACCAAACCUGUUGCAAAGGGCCAGACUAUAGAUGCUAUCGUCCAGCAUAAACAAGGAGAUGUUUUCAAUAGACAAUGUCGUCUCACGCAGUCUACUCACAACUGUACAAGCCAGUACCCAUUGUGUCGAUGUCUGGACCAGGUGAGAGGCACUUCAUCCUGAGGAAGACGUUCACUGUGGAAGAUGAUGGCCAAUGGUCCUUUCAUGUCUGGAUUGGUGGCAAUAAAACGAUUACAGUUUCUAUACAAAUUACAGUCACAGAUAACUCUACCAAAUCGCUAUCAUAUCUGUGGUCGUCUGCCUUCUCAUCAUCAUCGUUCUGUUCUCGGCAUGCUGUUUGUCAUCAGGCGUUAUCCACACAGAUGUCAAAGAACUUAGACAGUUUGUACACAGGUUGGUGUGCUGAAUACUUGUUUUUAACUUUUAUUAAGUUCAUUGGCUCCACUGCGCAGUUAUUGGCCGACUCAAUGUUAUACAAGUUUCUAUUGGUUGAUAACUGAUGACCAAUGACUUCAUUUUAUUUGUGAAGGGGUUAGUUUAUUUUCAAAUAAACAUUCUAUAAAAUAAUAG